UAUGGGGUGAUAUGAUACAU
rnacentral:siRNA from 1 species